AUUGUAAACAAGCAAGUUAAGGGCAACAUUCUGGCCAAGAGGAUCAAUGUGUGGAUUGAGCACAUCAAGCACUCAAAGCACAGAGACAGCUUCCUGAAGUGGGUGAAGGAGAAUGACCAGAAGAAAAAGGAAGUCAAAGAGAAGGGCACCUGGGUUCAACUGAAGUGCCAGACUGUGCCACCCAGAGAAGCACACAUUUUGAGGACUAAUGGAAAAAAGUUUGAGCUGUUGGAGCCCAUUCCAUAUGAAUUCGUGGCCUAA
rnacentral:lncRNA from 1 species